rnacentral:tRNA from 1 species
GCGGCGUUAGUUCAGUUGGUUAGAACGCAUGCCUGUCACGCAUGAGGUCAGGGGUUCGAGUCCCCUACGCCGCGCCA